UGCUUAUUGAAAUAAUAAUAAGUAAUUUCUGCCCACUGCGUAAUAUGUAAAGGGCUGCAGUAUUUUGACUGUAUAAAGGUAGCAUAAUCAUUAGUUUUUUAAUUAAGAACUGGUAUGAAAGGGUUAACAAAGAAGUGGUAUAUUUUAUAAAUAGAUGAAAUUAAUUAUUGCGUGAAAAGGCGUAGGUAAUAUAUUGGACAAGAAGACCCUAAAAGUUUUAUUUUUUGUUGUAAAGGGAUACAGAGGAACAGUAAUAUUUGGAGAUUAGUACAAUUUAUGAUUAGGGGUUUGGCUGGGGCGGCAUAUUUAAGAACAAAAUUAUAUUUUAAUUGGGUAAAACGAAUUGAGGACCUGAGAUUAGGUCAAUUGAAUGAGAAGUUACUUUAGGGAUAACAGCGUAAUCAUUUUUGAGAGUUCUUAUUGACGAAAUGGUUUGCGACCUCGAUGUUGGAUUAGGAAGAGGGCUGGUGUACAGAG
rnacentral:rRNA from 1 species